rnacentral:rRNA from 1 species
AUUGAACGCUGGCGGCAUGCUUUACACAUGCAAGUCGAACGGUAACAGGCCGCAAGGUGCUGACGAGUGGCGAACGGGUGAGUAAUGCAUCGGAACGUGCCCAGUCGUGGGGGAUAACGCAGCGAAAGCUGUGCUAAUACCGCAUACGAUCUGUGGACGAAAGCGGGGGACCUUCGGGCCUCGCGCGAUUGGAGCGGCCGAUGUCAGAUUAGGUAGUUGGUGGGGUAAAGGCUCACCAAGCCAACGAUCUGUAGCUGGUCGGAGAGGACGACCAGCCACACUGGGACUGAGACACGGCCCAGACUCCUACGGGAGGCAGCAGUGGGGAAUUUUGGACAAUGGGCGCAAGCCUGAUCCAGCAAUGCCGCGUGCAGGAAGAAGGCCUUCGGGUUGUAAACUGCUUUUGUACGGAGCGAAAAGGCUCUCUCUAAUACAGGGGGCUCGUGACGGUACCGUAAGGAUAAGCACCGGCUAACUACGUGCCAGCCGCCGCAGUAACAC